UAAGCUCAUUUUUUAUUUUCUUCUUCUGCUUCUCUUCCCGUGUUCUUCACCUGUUGGUGAUGUUACGAAAUUGAAAUCGAGAUUUUUAGAUCGAGAGAGAGGGGUAUAGUUGCGUAGUGAUCGUUGUUGGUGGUACUGAUGUUGAUUAUCUCUGGGAAGAUGAGAAGAUGUCGAUGUUGCUGUAAAUUAGAGGUUAGGGUUUCUGAGUUUUGAGGUUUUGUAGAACUGAUGAUGUUUUAGGUUGCUGAUUGACGAAGAACAGAAGGGUGAAGGUUGAAUUGAAGAUCUGUAGUUGUUCUAAUGAUGGAUUGCAGGGUUAUCACCGAAUUGAUGAGGUGAAUCGAUAAAAGUUAUUCUAUAUUAACAACGAUCGAUUCAAAGUAUGAACCAGUGGAUUCGGGAUUUCAAGGUAGGAGUGGGUUGCCUUCAAAACAGGUGGAAACUCUAUAACCUUCUUGUAAUCAUUAAGCUUUUUUUUAUCUGCGAGCAUGAUGAGUCUUUACUAUUUGAGUGCAUGAUAGCGUAUACUGUGAUGUUCUAUUUCAUGUAUCUUGAGUAUGACGUAUAUGUUGCAUCUGUAUGUACGGUGUUGCUAUGAUGUGUUGUGUUGAUAUGCACUGUGAGAUUUCCCUGCGAGGAGUGUCUGUGUUCCCCACGACUCUUAGCUAAGUUAAGUAAGGCGGUAAUUCAUCUGUCGACAAUAUUGUUUAGUAGGGCGGUAAUUCAUCCCUUCAAAUAUUAUUAUAACUAUUUCAUUAGUAGGGAGGUAAUUCAUCCGUUAUAAUAUUUUGCUUAUUAAUAUAGAAGGGAGGUAACUCAUCCGUUUGAAUAUUACCUAGUAGGGCGGUAAUGCAUCCGUUAUAUUAUUAUGCUUAUUAAUAUAGUAGGGCGGUGACUCAUCCGUUUGAAUAUGACCUAGUAGGCCGGUAAUUCAUCCGUUAUGAUAUUAUAUAUAUUAUUUUAUUUGAGGGAAAUCACUCGUGUGCAUAUUAUACUUGUUUGUAUAACUUUCUGAUCUUGAUGGUAAUAUUCUGAAUCAUGGUUUGUAUGGACACUCUGUGUGGAUGAUGUUAUUAUUAUUGAUUAGGGUUACUCUCGCAUCGUCUUCUCCAAUGAGUUUGGCGAGGUUAGAGUGACACUUGCUUCAUGUUGCAAAAAUUGUUGAAUGUUUAGUCUUCUUCUUAUUUCUUCCGAUUUAUAUUCUCGUAGAACUGUGAAGUAUGUUAGUGAUUACUUGAGAGUUACAUGUUUUUCAUUGAGCACCCUUUUGGGAUGAAGUGCUCACUCGUUUCCACUUCAGUUUUCAGUUAUUAGAAGAGAGGGUGCAGUGAAGAUAUCCGUUUUCGUAGUUUAAAGCGUUACCGAACUUAGUUACGUAUCUUUUAUAUAUAUGUUUUCUUUAUUUAUUGUAAACAACACACAAAUAUAUUUAUAUCAUUUGAGAGUUCAUCUAUUAA